AUUGAACGCUGGCGGCAGGCCUAACACAUGCAAGUCGAGCGAGCGGCGGACGGGUGAGUAAUGUAUGGGGACUGCCCGAAAGAGGGGGAUAACUACUGGAAAAGGUGGCUAAUACCGAAUACUGUCGGAUAACCCAUAGGGGAUUAGCUAGUAGGUAAGGUAAUGGCUUACCUAGGCGACGAUCCCUAGCUGAGCUGAGAGGAUGAUCAGCCACAAUGGGACUGAGACACGGCCCAGACUCCUACGGAGGCAGCAGUGGGGAAUAUUGCAAAAUGGGCGCAAGCCUGAUGCAGCCAUGCCGCGUGUAUGAAGAAGGCCCUAGGGUUGUAAAGUACUUUCAGUCGGGAGGCGUUACCGACAGAAGAAGCACCGGCUAACUCCGUGCCAGCAGCGGCGGUAAUAC
rnacentral:rRNA from 1 species